rnacentral:rRNA from 1 species
UUAAAUUGAAGAGUUUGAUCAUGGCUCAGAUUGAACGCUGGCGGCAGGCCUAACACAUGCAAGUCGAACGGUAACAGGAAUCAGCUUGCUGAUUUGCUGACGAGUGGCGGACGGGUGAGUAAUGUCUGGGAAACUGCCUGAUGGAGGGGGAUAACUACUGGAAACGGUAGCUAAUACCGCAUAAUGUCGCAAGACCAAAGAGGGGGACCUUCGGGCCUCUUGCCAUCCGAUGUGCCCAGAUGGGAUUAGCUAGUAGGUGGGGUAACG